AUGGAAAUCCAUUCUCAUGAUGGGUUCUGGUGUACACAAUUUCUGUUAAAUUAUUGGCAUGACUUGACUGCAUUAACGUGCGUUCAACAAACUGAUGUUACUUCCAUAAAUCUAUUUGUUGUGCCUGAAACAUUGAAAAUGCAAGGUUUUAGAAUUGACAUGAAACAUCAAAUAAUAAAAUGUGAAAAUUAA